UACGAAGGGGGCGAGCGUUGUUCGGAAUUACUGGGCGUAAAGGGCGCGCAGGCGGCGUUGGAAGUCAGGCGUGAAAGCCCCGGGCUCAACCUGGGAAUUGCGUUUGAUACUCUGAUGCUGGAGUUCGGGAGAGGAGAGUGGAAUUCCCAGUGUAGAGGUGAAAUUCGUAGAUAUUGGGAAGAACACCGGUGGCGAAGGCGGCUCUCUGGACCGAGACUGACGCUGAGGCGCGAAAGCGUGGGGAGCAAACAGG
rnacentral:rRNA from 1 species